CCUACGGGGUGCUGCAGUGGGGAAUAUUGGACAAUGGGCGAAAGCCUGAUCCAGCCAUGCCGCGUGUGUGAAGAAGGCCUUCGGGUUGUAAAGCACUUUCAGUGGGGAAGAAAGCCUUGGGGCUAAUACCCUCGAGGAAGGACAUCACCCACAGAAGAAGCACCGGCUAACUCCGUGCCAGCAGCCGCGGUAAUACGGAGGGUGCGAGCGUUAAUCGGAAUUACUGGGCGUAAAGCGCGCGUAGGCGGUCUGAUAAGCCGGUUGUGAAAGCCCCGGGCUCAACCUGGGAACGGCAUCCGGAACUGUCAGGCUAGAGUGCAUGAGAGGAAGGUAGAAUUCCCGGUGUAGCGGUGAAAUGCGUAGAGAUCGGGAGGAAUACCAGUGGCGAAGGCGGCCUUCUGGACUGACACUGACGCUGAGGUGCGAAAGCGUGGGUAGCAAACAGGAUUAGAUACCCUUGUAGUC
rnacentral:rRNA from 1 species